rnacentral:tRNA from 1 species
GGAGGCGUGCCAGAGAGGAUGAACGGGGCGGUUUCGAAAACCGCUAUUCGCUUUAAAACCGAAUCGGAGGUUCGAAUCCUCCCGCCUCCGCCA